UAGUCCACGCCGUAAACGAUGAAUACUAGGUGUCGGGGGUCGAACCUCGGUGCCGCAGCUAACGCAUUAAGUAUUCCACCUGGGGAGUACGAUCGCAAGAUUGAAACUCAAAGGAAUUGACGGGGCCCGCACAAGCGGUGGAGCAUGUGGUUUAAUUCGAAGCAAUGCGAAGAACCUUACCAAAUCUUGACAUCCCGAUGACCGGCAUUUAAUUUUGCCUUUUCUUCGGAACAUCGGUGACAGGUGGUGCAUGGUUGUCGUCAGCUCGUGUCGUGAGAUGUUGGGUUAAGUCCCGCAACGAGCGCAACCCUUACUUUUAGUAGCCAGCAUGUAAUGAUGGGGACUCUAGAGGGACUGCCGGGGAUAACUCGGAGGAAGGUGGGGAUGACGUCAAAUCAUCAUGCCCCUUAUGAUUUGGGGCUACACACGUGCUACAAUGGGUGAUUACAAAGGGGAAGCGAAGCCGUGAGGGUGGAGCAAACCCCAAAAAGUCAUCCCAGUUCGGGAUUGUAGUCU
rnacentral:rRNA from 1 species